GUAAUGAUAAUAGGUUUUUUAGUCAAUUAUCCUAAAACACCAAUCAUAUCGUUGUAGUAUUUUAGGUUGUCAAUCCAAAUGGGUGUGAUGCUAACAAUCAAGAUGUGAUCAGAAGUCACUAAGUCAAGCCAAGCAAUAACAGGUUUUGGUGUGUUCUACUAGUCCUAAGUGAACAUGCAGAAAACAGAAAAUCAAACAGAAACAGUAAAACACUCGACUAACACAGCUAUUUGCAGAAAUUAAGCGACAGAUAACAGGAUGCAGUAAACGACAGUAGAGUAAACAAAGAAGUCAAUCAGAUAAGGAAUUCCCGAGGAUGGGGUAAUUGAGU
rnacentral:sRNA from 1 species